UACGUAGGGUGCAAGCGUUAAUCGGAAUUACUGGGCGUAAAGCGUGCGCAGGCGGUUUUGUAAGUCUGUCGUGAAAUCCCCGGGCUCAACCUGGGAAUGGCGAUGGAGACUGCAAGGCUAGAAUCUGGCAGAGGGGGGUAGAAUUCCACGUGUAGCAGUGAAAUGCGUAGAUAUGUGGAGGAACACCGAUGGCGAAGGCAGCCCCCUGGGCUAAGAUUGACGCUCAUGCACGAAAGCGUGGGGGAGCAAACAGGG
rnacentral:rRNA from 1 species